CACCUACGGGAGGCAGCAGUGGGGAAUAUUGCACAAUGGGGGAAACCCUGAUGCAGCGACGCCGCGUGAGUGAGGAAGUAUUUCGGUAUGUAAAGCUCUAUCAGCAGGGAAGAAAAUGACGGUACCUGACUAAGAAGCCCCGGCUAACUACGCGCCAGCAGCCGCGGUAAUACGUAGGGGGCAAGCGUUAUCCGGAUUUACUGGGUGUAAAGGGAGCGUAGACGGACUUGCAAGUCUGAUGUGAAAAUCCGUGGCCCAACCCCGGAACUGCAUUGGAAACUGUAUAUCUAGAGUGUCGCAGAGGG
rnacentral:rRNA from 1 species